rnacentral:rRNA from 1 species
GACAGAGGUGCCGAGCGUUAGGCGGAAUCACUGGGCAUAAAGCGCACGUAGGUGGUGUCGUAAGUCGGGUGUGAAAUCCCUCGGCCUAACCGAGGAACUGCGCCCGAUACUGCGAUGCUUGAGGAUCAGAGGGGUGCAUGGAAUUUCCGGUGGAGCGGUGAAAUGCGUUGAUAUCGGAAGGAACUCCGGCGGCGAAAGCGAUGCACUGGCUGAUUUCUGACACUGAGGUGCGAAAGCCAGGGGAGCAAACGGG